rnacentral:lncRNA from 1 species
AUGAUGGAGGAUCUAAAAAAAUACGAUGAGGAAAUUUAUGAAACUCUUCCAGAAGACACGAUCCUGGAUGUAGCAACAAAAAAAGACAAAAAAGCAGAGAAGGAACUCGACGACUUAGAUGCUGGCAGUAAUUCACCUUCCACAGACCUAGAUUUAAUUUUCGGGAAGUUGCCACCAAAGUCACUGAUCAAGACCAACCUCCUCUUCCCAAAGCCUCCUUGUCCCAUGACAUCAUACAAGACAUCAGGAAGACAUCAUCCCCUUUCGAUUAACAAACAGACUGUUGCGGCUGAUGAAAAAAGAGACCAGGAUGUGACAGUGAGAACCCUGAAAUCUCCCCACAAGAGCCAUCUGGCACAGAAACGUGCAGUGAGACACUGGAAUGCUCCUUCCUCCAGCACCAGCUCAAGAGCUGCUCGUCACAACCACAAAAAUCACUUGUGAUAGCACACAGGCUGAGCAACAACAGCCGGGAGGAGAACAUUAACUGUAUUGCACCGUCUCACCGCUGCAGACUCCCAGAAAUACCACCUGCUGGGAUACUCUGAUGAGAAUUCUACGAAAAUGUCUGAAUAAAGGAAAUAACUUUCCUUUGUGAAUGAUAUUU